GAAUAKUUUUACCCGAUGGNAUGCRUUUCCCKAAUCGGAGAUGCAUUAAAGAUUUUAUCGGUGACGGAUGAGGAUGCGUACGAUUAGCUGGUUGGCGGGGUAACGGCCCACCAAGGCUACGAUCGUUAGGGGUUCUGAGAGGAAGGUCCCCCACACUGGAACUGAGACACGGUCCAGACUCCUACGGGAGGCAGCAGUGAGGAAUAUUGGUCAAUGGGCGGGAGCCUGAACCAGCCAAGUAGCGUGAAGGAUGACUGCCCUACGGGUUGUAAACUUCUUUUGUUUGGGAAUAAAAGACGCUACGUGUAGCGUUCUGCAUGUACCUUACGAAUAAGCAUCGGCUAAUUCCGUGCCAGCAGCCGCGGUAAUACGGAAGAUGCGAGCGUUAUCCGGAUUUAUUGGGUUUAAAGGGAGCGUAGGCGGGCUGUUAAGUCAGCGGUAAAAUGUCAAGGCCCAACCUUGUCCUGCCGUUGAAACUGGCGGUCUUGAAUGCACACAAGGGAGAUGGAAUUCGUCGUGUAGCGGUGAAAUGCUUAGAUAUGACGAAGAACUCCGAUUGCGAAGGCAGUCUCCUGGGGUGUAAUUGACGCUGAGGCUCGAAAGUGCGGGUAUCAAACAGGAUUAGAUACCCUGGUAGUCCGCACAGUAAACGAUGAAUGCUGGUUCUUGGCGAUAUACGGUCAGGAACUGAGGGAAACCAUUAAGCAUUCCACCUGGGGAGUACGCCGGCAACGGUGAAACUCAAAGGAAUUGACGGGGGCCCGCACAAGCGGAGGAACAUGUGGUUUAAUUCGAUGAUACGCGAGGAACCUUACCCGGGCUUGAAUUGCAGCUGCAUAGAAUAGAGAUAUUCUUUCCCUUCGGGGCUGCUGUGAAGGUGCUGCAUGGUUGUCGUCAGCUCGUGCCGUGAGGUGUCGGCUUAAGUGCCAUAACGAGCGCAACCCUUGCUGUCAGUUGCCAUCAGGUAAUGCUGGGCACUCUGACGGGACUGCCAUCGCAAGAUGUGAGGAAGGUGGGGAUGACGUCAAAUCAGCACGGCCCUUACGUCCGGGGCUACACACGUGUUACAAUGGGGAGUACAGAAAGCCGCUUCAUGGCGACAUGAGGCCAUUCUUGAAAGCUCCUCUCAGUUCGGACU
rnacentral:rRNA from 1 species